rnacentral:rRNA from 1 species
AUUGAACGCUGGCGGCAUGCCUUACACAUGCAAGUCGAACGGCAGCACGGGAGCAAUCCUGGUGGCGAGUGGCGAACGGGUGAGUAAUAUAUCGGAACGUGCCCAGUCGUGGGGGAUAACGUUGCGAAAGCUACGCUAAUACCGCAUACGAUCUAUGGAUGAAAGCGGGGGAUCGCAAGACCUCGCGCGAUUGGAGCGGCCGAUAUCAGAUUAGGUAGUUGGUGAGGUAAAGGCUCACCAAGCCGACGAUCUGUAGCUGGUCUGAGAGGACGACCAGCCACACUGGGACUGAGACACGGCCCAGACUCCUACGGAGGCAGCAGUGGGGAAUUUUUGGACAAUGGGCGCAAGCCUGAUCCAGC